CAUGCUGACUGUUACUUAUCACCUUAUUAUCUUCUAGAUGUUUGCAAAUUGAUUGCUUAAUUAUUUGCUCCAUUAUCUUUCCGGGUAGAGAAGUUAAGCUGACUGGUCUGUAGUUCCCCAGGUUGUCCUUAUUUCCUUUUUUAUAGAUGGGCACCAUAUUUGCCCUUUUCCAGUCUUCUGAAAUCUCUCCUGUCUCUCCAUGACUUUUCAAAGAUAAUUGCUAAUGGCUCAGAUAUCUCCUCAGUCAGCUCCUUGAGUAUUCUAGGAUGCAUUUCAUUAGGCCCUGGUGACUUGAAGACAUCUAAUUUGUCUAAGUAAUUUUUAACUUCUUCUUUUCCUAGAUUGGCUUCUGGUCCUACCUCAUUUUCACUGGUAUUCAGUAGUGAUGAAAAAUAACAAUACAGGACUCUAUUGAGGCCCUGUAAUUGGAAUGAGUACGCUUUAAAUCCUUUAACAGAGAUCCAUUGGAGAGCAAGUCUGGUGCCAGCAGCUGUGGUAAUUCCAGCUCCAGUAGCGUAUAUUAAAGUUGCUGCAGUUAAAAAGCUUGCAUUUGGAUCUUGGGAUCGAGCUGGCGGUCCGUCGCGAGGCGAGCUACCGCCUGUCCCAGCCCCUGCCUCUCGGCGCUCCCUUGAUGCUGUUAACUUAGUGUCCUGGGGUGCCGAAGCGUUUACUUUGAAAAAAUUAGAGUGUUCAAAGCAGGCUGGUUGCCGGAAUACUCCAGCUAGGAAUAAUGGAAUAGGACUCCGGUUCUAUUUUGUUGGUUUUCAGAACUGGAGCCAUGAUUAAGAGGGACGGCCGGGGGCAUUCCCAUGACCCGCCGGGCAGCUUACGGGAAACCAAAGUCUUUGGGUUCCGGGGGGAGUAUGGUUGCAAAGCUGAAACUUAAAGGAAUUGACGGAAGGGCACCACCAGGAGUGGAGCCUGCGGCUUAAUUUGACUCAACAUGGGAAACCUCACCCGGCCCGGACACAGAAAGGAUUGACAGAUUGAUAGCUCUUUCUCGAUUCUUAGGGUGGUGGUGCAUGGCCGUUCUUAGUUGGUGGAGCGAUUUGUCUGGUUAAUUCCAAUAACGAACGAGACUCUGGCAUGCUAACAUGUCACUUCACAGUGACUGAAAACCACAUACAGAAUAUGUAAGUAUCAGCAGCUGCCCUUGCUUUACAUGUACGAUUGUGCAUGAUACAGACACAAAGAGCUCUAGGAAACUGAAGGAUGUUAUGUUAAAUUGUGGUAUGUACAAAAGAUAUUGCCCAGGCUACUUGUCUUUUGUCCACUCUCACCUUCAGUGUGGGGAUGGGGGCAUUU
rnacentral:ncRNA from 1 species